UUGACUCACAAGAAGAAAAUCAGUUCACCUCUGAAACUGAACAUUUACAAAGAUUGUCUGAAAAUUAUGAAAACAAUAGAAGGAUUUUAGCGCUUUAUUUUCAUUCAACAAAACUUUGGCAACAGAUGAUCAGCUGAUGGGUGUGUUUUUUGGUGCAUCUAUCUCAUUUUGAUCUUCAGCGUUCUAGUGUAUUUGUCCAAGUUCUGCCCUGAUGAUUCUUUGAGCAGUAUUCACCAAGUCCAUUUCUUCUGUGCAUGUGCAGCAUGCAGCCAGAACAUUUUUCAAAAAGCUAAUUUUCUGCAGAAAUUUCCCAAAUUGUUUAUAAAAUGUUUGUCUCUAGAAGAAGUUUGGUAAAAAAAAAUAGGAAUGAAGGGAAAAGGAGCUUAAGUAGUGAAAGUGUUUGUUUACCAUGCUCAAUAAUGUGGUUAGAAGCUCUGACCGCUCUGUUUUACGGAAGUCAUUAUUAGAAAUUAUGUUUUUACUUUGAAUUAUUUUUGUGAAAAUUAGUAUAUUUUUUUUCUUUUACACUGUUUUAAAUAAAUAAAUAUUUUUUUUAAAUAAAUGAAUUAAUGUGAAAUUAGGUGAAUAUUUGUGAAAUGUUUUUAAUAGUUCUUCCCCUGUGGUUAACACGUGUGGGCUCAUCUGUACACUCUGUUGCCAUGGAAAGUCCACCACUUUACCUUCAUUUCAGCUCCAAGGCGAAGCUUCAAACCUUGAAAUGUCAUGAAGGAUCGUGCAUGGAGACUAAAAUCUUGAAUCGUUUUUGCUUAGAAAUAUUUAAACUCUUUUUACUGUUUUUUUUUAUUCUAUUUUAUUUUUUAUUUUUUAUCUUAUUUACUUUAUUGAAAGCUACGGUGGCUGACUUAAAGGACCCUAUGGGUAUGAUGAUCAGGAGACUAAAGUAAAAGUGAAACUAAACUCUGUAGCGGGUUGCUUCUUUGUUCCAUUUAAUCCAUUUUUAAACUAAAUGGAUGGAUUAUCAUCCACCAGCAUCACUUCUGGAUUAAACAACGUGAUCAAAUGAUUUCAGGAUGAACAAAAGGAGCUGCUUCCAUUUGCUACGGCUGUGAAAAGAGAACAAGAAAGGGUGGUAGGUUGUCUACCCUUCGUCCAAGACAGACUGUAUGCUUCAUAUAAGCAGUUAAUAAUGACCACUCAGCAAAAAUAUUCAACAUACAGCAGACUCUCCUAGACCAUUCUACUUUUUUUCUUCUGUGGUUUUUGUCAUCUAGACUGAAGACUAGACAAACAAUAGGAUAGACUUUAAAAAUGCAAAUGCACACAUUACAUUUCAUCUAUAGAUAUUAGCAAAUUUUGGAUUUAUUUGUAGUUAUUUAAAGGUGUGGUUCGCUGAAAAAACAAUUUUUAAUGAUUAUUUCAGAUUAUAAGUUUUUCAUGCAUGCUGAUCAUAAAAUAGUCUCCUACACCUAUCUCCUGCACUAGCGUCUGGUAGAAAAUAGAUGGUGAAACACUAGGAUUUGAAAAGCCUGACCGAUCUACAGUAAAGGCCAAAAGUUUGGACACACCUUCUCAUUCAAUGUGUUUUCUUUAUUUUCAUGACCAUUAGCAUGGGUAGAUUCUCACUGAAGGCAUCAAAACUAUGAAUGAGCACAUGUGGAGUUAUGUACUUAACCAAAAAAGGUGAAAUAACUGAAAACAUGUUUUAUAUUCUAUUUUAUUCAAAAUAGCCACCCUUAACUGAUUACUGCUUUGCACACUCUUGGCAUUCUCUUGAUGAGCUUCAGGAGGUAGUCACCUGAAAUGGUUUUCCAACAGUCUUGAAAGGAGUUCCCAGAGGUGUUUAGCACUCAUUGGCCCCUUUGUAGAUGAUCAUGGUCAGGAAAAUAAAGAAAACACAUUGAAUGAGAAGGUGUGUCCAAACUUUUGGCCUGUAAUGUAUGUCAAACGGUCGCUUGGAAUCUCAUACUGGCUCACAACUGGGAAGUCUAUAGCGUCCAGAAUCAGCAUUGAACGUUUUGUUCUUGCAAACGUUAACCCUUAACAUUAGCAACUCAACCACACAGCAGAAACUCAUCCAGGCUUGUGUUAUUUGUGGAGAUAAAACAUCAACGUUGCAAAGCAGUCAAUGGUAGUCAUGUUACUGUAAUCCAAUCCUAGGUGAGAUGUCCAAAUAUCAGGAAAUAAGACUCCAAAUCCUGCCAUGUGAUGUGGCAGACUUGUCCCUGCUAAUGCAGACGUUUCUGGAGGGUUUUCUGACCCAAGUAUAGCUUGCAAGGCAUUCAUUCAUUCCUACCAGAGACCACUGCAAAUGUAUUGACUAAACGGGUUUCCCACACCUUUAAAUAAAAAAUAAUAAUACAAUAUUAAACUUUUGUAGUGUAGUUAUGCUUAAGUAAUUUUCUCGUCUACUAGAAAAUUAAUUGCAGUCGGGGAGGUAUUGCAGAGGUAAUUUUGGACAAUGCACAAAAAAUAAACUGUGCUGAUGAAACCCUUUUUUUUUGUCUAGCGUUGGAAUUCUGCAGGUUAGCGUAAUAGUGCAGAUGACUAUGAUGAGUCACCGGUGCACUCUUUAAAUACUGAGUUGCGCUUUAUGUUAGGAGGCUUUUUUUAAAUCAAAGGAAAAAAAUGUUCUCAAAAUUUAGGAAAAAAGCUGCUUUUUUAUUUAGAAUCUUUGGAAAAGAAAUUUUUUUAAAAAGUUUCUAAAUUGCUUCGCGAAAUCUAACUGAUAGAAACAACAGAUAUUUUAAAUUAAAAUUUAAUUGUCAGAUUUAAAAAGUAGAAAAAAUGUUAAGGAUUAAUUAUAAUAAAGUAGAAAAUUAAACUUAAAUAAAAAACAUUUGAAAUGGUCACUUUGACAGCAUUUUUAAUGAUUUUUGUUUUAUUAUUAUUCUUUAAAAGCUUAAAAAACAAACGUAAUCUACGGUCAUGCCACUUUGGAUUACUAAAAGUUUCAUUGACUUCCCUUUGUUACAUUUUAUUUAGAAAAGAUCCUUAUAUAACUAGUCAUAGUAAUUACACAUUGAUUUAUAAGUGAAUUGCCACUGUAAAUAAUUUUGUUGUAAAAACUAGAUAUUAAUUUAACCGAUUGUAUUUAAUUUAUGUCAUUGCAAAUAUUAAGCAAGGUGUUUGUUUUUACUGUAAUUUGCAUAUCUGUUCCCCCAAUAAGUUUCUGUUGAAUCUGUGAAAAAUUGUUUGCAUUUUGUGUUGAUAAAAUUGCUAAAACAGACUUCCAGAAAGUUUUCUGCUGAUGACCAACUUUCAUUUUCCCGCCCUCUGAUCAUACAAAAUGUAUAUUAGGCACAAUUUUUCUUUGUUUGAAAUAAAACAAGGAGGGAUUUUUAAUAUUUGUCUGUCAAAAAAUAUAAUAGAAUUUCUGGGUUUUUUUUUUAUGUUUGUUUGUAUAGAUUUAAAAUAAAAACCAAUAGUCAAAAUUUUCCUAAAUGUACAGGAGGAUUUCACAUUUCCCAAAUGAAGUCAGACCUGAGGAGAUUGAAUUUUCAGAUAAAACAAUAAACACUUUAUCAAGUUGGGUCAUGCCUUUGCUACCGCUUCACCCAUUUCUGAGGUUCUGUGCAACUACAAGUGAUUCCCUCUUCCCAAGAAAACUCCUGUUUUUGCUUUCAGCUGUUUCAGGAGCACGAGGGGAAGGAGCUUUCCUCACAAAUAAGCUGGAUUUGUUUCUCUUGAACCCUUGUAUUCUGAAAUUAGCAGCAAAUGUAACUUAACUUGUCCCUAAAAAUUAAACUGGAAAUCUGCAUUUGUCACACUUUGGGGCAUUCAUCUUUGCAGUUUGAUUGGAAUUAGCUACAAAACCCACUAGUCAUCACAAAUUCUACCUUCAGCCACUCAUUUUGAUAAAUAAUUUCUGAUCAGUUCUGGCUGCUUUUAGACUGUCUUGAUUGCUCAAAAAAAAUGCGAGAUUGGUUGUUACAUUUAUAAUUGACUGUUUUAAUCUUGUAACGUGUUUCUUGAGGUAUUUUCUGCUCUUGUUGCUGCCUCUUGGUCAACUCGUCCUUUUAACCCUUUGAUGCAUAAUGGUCAUUACAGUGGACAGGUACUCAAAAUUGUUUUGUUUUUUGUUUUGUUUUUGUUUUGCUAUUAAGUUGAAGACUUUGUUGCAUUUGAGCCCCUCCAUUUGGACUUCAGGGAGUCAAGCCAACAUAUUUCAUGUUCAGAAUGCACGCUGUCCACUGAGGUGGACAUGUAAUAAAUUAUUAGUAAACUAUUAAAUGUCACAAAAAUAUUUGUUGAAAUUUGUUUCAUUCACACUUGAAAAUGAAUGAAGAAUUUUUUUUUAAAAGUCAUGGUUGAAGAUUUCAUAAUUCAUGCAUCAAAGGGUUAAGUGAGGAUGGGUUCUGAAAAAACGCAACUGGUAAAUAAAAAGUAAAAUAAAGGUAAAAAUCUAACAUUUUCAGCCAAAACUGCUCAGUGUGUCAUGAAUGACACUGUAAUGAGUUAUAUCUGGUUCAAGAGUUUCUCUUCACCCCUGUCAGAAAGGCCUCUUUACAAAAAGUGUCCAUCUUGCAUGAUUCUGCCAAAAGAACAAGAGUUAGAAAAAAAUAAUCCACUGAAGCAUUAAUUUCACCACUGUGGACAUGUUAAAGGAGGCAGAAACAGCUGGUAACAUUUGUUUAUGUCUCAAACCAAUAAAUGCCAAUAAAUACUUCAUGAAGAAAAUUAUAUUUAACAUUUAUGCUCAAAUUUUUACUUCUCAGGAAUAUUUUUUUAAUUUCAAAGUUUAGAAAAUGCAUCAUACUGGGAUUAUCAAUGUUUGUAGACUUUUAUAAAAACUAUUGUUACAGUUUUUGGCACUUUGUGCUAAAUCUCAGAUGUUUAAUUGAGCCCCAUAUGAGGAAGAUGAAAUGCACAAUGCAUCUGUCUGAUGAACUAAACAACCACAUAGAUCAUAUGGCCAGAAGGGUGGAUCUGCUUCCCCUUCAAUGUGGUUGAAGAUUACUGUGAAAAGUACCCAAAACAUGCUGUUCUUUGCAGUCUUUCUGGUUGGCUCGCUCAGAGAAACUUCUAAACUUUGGCAAACGUAAGGUAAAUCCUUUGGCGCAAAUCCCUCAUUUCAUAAUCUGGUUGCAUCAGUAACGAGCCAACGUGUUUUCAGACUUCAUUUUUACCUUUUAUUACAAAAAACUACAAACACAACUAUAUACAGAAACACCUUGGAGAUGGGUUUUGGGCAAACAUCAAGAAGUGCGUUCACCGUAUUUUGACGGAUUCAUGAAGACAUUGGAAAAAUGCGAUGUUUUGAUUUGACACCAACUCCUUCACAAAUGCUUAGAGCAGCUGGCAUUUGCGAUCAGUGCCAGCCUAAGUGCACUCGAGGUAGGCGAACCUCACCUUUAUUACUGGUUACAGUUAAUAAUACAAUGCCCUGUCAGAACUCCACAAGCUGUACAAUUUUACAACACAGAAAAUUUACAUGAACGUUGUUUUGAACCAGUCAAAAACAAAGACGACAAACAGUGUUCUUCAGAACUUCACAUAGUGGCCGAGAGACGGGAGUGGCUCCGUACGGAACCACGAAAAAGGAGUUAGCUUAAUGAGUCGAGACCAAAGAGACUGUGACUUGACUUAAGGGGUUUGGUCCCAGAUUAGGAGGUGGGGUGGACAAGCAGAGCUUCAUAAUAGUCCAAAGUGUCAAAGCACUGUCCUGUUAGUUCAAUCUGAAUCUAUUGGCAAAAGCUGUUCCAGAAGACAUCUGUGGGUGAUGUGAAGUCUGUGCCCAGAGUUGUGUACUGGGGUGUGUCAUCUACUUCUUCUCCUGCAAACACAAGGACCAAAGGUGAGAACAAGUACCAGGAUUUUAGUAAUAAUUUUAACCUACGGUAAUCGUCUAUCUAGACUGGUAUUUACCUGAGGAUGACUCACUCCACUGGCUUCCUGGACUCGUGCAUGCUUCAUUGCUCAGGAAUCCCAUGUUGCCUGCAUUGUACAUCCCCAGUGAGUCUUUCUCCAAUUGCUGGCAAAUCUGUAAGAGCAACACCAGAUUGAGUACUUUUGUCCAACUGGAGUUUUUCCACAACAUCAAGUAGCUUUUUUUUUUAAUUAAGCCUUAUAAUUUUAGUUAUUCUAAAACAAGCCAAACAGGCCAAAAAAGACAAACAUGGGUAUUCAUGUCAAUGAAAACUGCAUGUGUUUAAAAAAAAUAGGAGCUGAGAGCUGUGCUUACCUCAAUGAUGUCCUGAGGAUAGUCGUAAUCUGGAAGGUCGCAGCAAAGAAACAGGGAGAGAAGAAAAAGCAAAUGAGUCUAAUGUUUGCUGUAUUAGGCAAUUUCUUCAUCUUUAUUCAGAGAUUAAAUCUGUCAUCUUACCAGGACUGUGUUCAGGGGAAACCUCAAAUCUGUGAGGAAAGCUGCUUGGUAGGUCGUCCAACGAGAUUUCGACUGAAUUCGACCAAUCAGGGACCUCUGACGGAGCCGUGAAGGAGAAAUCUGCAACAGGAUUGAUGAAGAUUUUAGAUCAAGUCACUCAAAUAUUUUUUUAGGACUUUCAAAUAACAUUUUGGUUUUGCUCACCUUCCUGGUCCAUCUGUACCAUGCUGUCGACUCUGUUUUCCUGAGUGGAGAUGUUUUCUUCAAACAAGGAUGUGUUCAGUGGCGACUGAGUGUCACUGUAGUCUGUGUCUUCCUCCAUAUUGACAUUCUGUCUCUGCUGAAGCAAAAAAAAAAACAA